rnacentral:rRNA from 1 species
UUCCGGUUGAUCCUGCCGGAGGCUACCGCUAUUGGAGUUCGAUUAAGCCAUGCGAGUCGCGAGAAUUAGAUUCUCGGCGUACCGCUCAGUAACACGUGGGUAACCUGCCCUAUGCUGGAUAAUAACCUCGGGAAACUGAGAAUAAUGAUCUAUAGUUCACUACGCCUGGAACGGUGAGUGGAUGAAAGCUCCGGCGGCAUAGGAUGGGCCUGCGGCGUAUCAGGUUGUAGGGGGUGUAAUGUACCCUCUAGCCCUCUACGCGUACGGGUGUUGAGAGACAUCGCCCGGAGAUGGAUUCUGAGACACGAAUCCAGACCCUACGGGGUGCAGCAGGCGCGAAAACUUGGCAAUGCGAGAAAUCGUGACCAGGGAACUCCAAGUGCAUGGGGUAAGACCUAUGCUUUUCUAGACUCUAAAAAGGUCUUGGAAUAAGAGGUGGGUAAGGACGGUGCCAGCCGCCGCGGUAAUACCGGCGCCUCAAGUGGUAGUCGCUUUUAUUGGGCCUAAAACGUCCGUAGCCGGUCUGAUACAUUCGUGGGUAAAUCAACCAGCUUAACUGGUUGAAUUCUGCGAGGACGGUCAGACUUGGGACCGGGAGAGGUGUGGGGUACGCUCAGGGUAGGGGUAAAAUCCUGUCAUCCUGAGCGGACCACCUGUUGCGAAGGCGCCACACUAGAACGGAUCCGACGGUCAGGGACGAAGCCUAGGGGCACGAACCGGAUUAGAUACCCGGGUAGUCCUAGGUGUAAACGCUGUGGACUUGAUGUUGGGGGUGCUCCGAGCACUCUCAGUGUCGAAGCGAAGGCGAUAAGUCCACUGCCUGGGAAGUACGGUCGCAAGGCUGAAACUUAAAGGAAUUGGCGGGGGAGCACCGCAACCUGAGGAUUGUGCGGUUUAAUUGGAUUCAACGCCGG